rnacentral:rRNA from 1 species
UAGGGAAUCUUCGGCAAUGGACGAAAGUCUGACCGAGCAACGCCGCGUGAGUGAAGAAGGUUUCGGAUCGUAAACUCUGUUGGUAGAGAAGAACGUUGGUGAGAGUGGAAAGCUCAUCAAGUGACGGUAACUACCCAGAAAGGGACGGCUAACUACGUGCCAC